GACGAAGGGUGACUGACGGUACCUGGAGAAGAAGCACCGGCUAACUACGUGCCAGCAGCCGCGGUAACACGUAGGGUGCGAGCGUUGUCCGGAAUUAUUGGGCGUAAAGAGCUCGUAGGCGGUUUGUCGCGUCGGCUGUGGAAACCUACUGCUUAACGGUGGGCUUGCAGUCGAUACGGGCAGACUUGAGUUCGGCAGGGGAGACUGGAAUUCCUGGUGUAGCGGUGAAAUGCGCAGAUAUCAGGAGGAACACCGGUGGCGAAGGCGGGUCUCUGGGCAACAACUGACGCUGAGGAGCGAAAGCGUGGGGAGCGAACAGGAUUAGAUACCCUGGUAGUCCACGCCGUAAACGUUGGGCGCUAGGUGUGGGGCUCAUUCCACGAGUUCCGUGCCGUAGCUAACGCAUUAAGCGCCCCGCCUGGGGAGUACGGCCGCAAGGCUAAAACUCAAAGGAAUUGACGGGGGCCCGCACAAGCGGCGGAGCAUGCGGAUUAAUUCGAUGCAACGCGAAGAACCUUACCAAGGCUUGACAUAUACCGGAAACAUCUGGAGACAGGUGCCCCGCAAGGUCGGUAUACAGGUGGUGCAUGGUUGUCGUCAGCUCGUGUCGUGAGAUGUUG
rnacentral:rRNA from 1 species